UCUCCGUUGGUGAACCAGCGGAGGGAUCAUUAUAGAGUUUUUUAAACUCCCAAACCCAUGUGAACUUACCUUUGUUGCCUCGGCGGAGCCUACCUGGUACCGACCCCUUUUGGGAGAGGUUGCUUUGUAGCCCGCCGGUGGAUUUUCAAACUAUUGUUAUUUAAUGUUAUCUGAGCGUCUUAUUUUAAUAAGUCAAAACUUUCAACAACGGAUCUCUUGGUUCUGGCAUCGAUGAAGAACGCAGC
rnacentral:misc_RNA from 1 species